CUUCAGCAACACACACAGAUAUGUGAUUUAGCAAUGCAGUGCGUCGGUGGAGGCAGAUUCAGCAUGCUUUAUGGGUCCCUGCUCAUUUUAGUGCGUCUCAGACGCGGGACGCACAUCAAACGAGAUCCUGUGUAUGGUAUUUAUUCAAUUAUAGUUUCUCUAAUUAAAGCAACAAACGGUUCAUGUUCGCUGAAGGAGGUGUGCUAUCGUUGUGAGGAACUUUUUCUAAAAAACGAAACAAAGGGCUAAACAGUCAGAAUGGCACCCAAGAUUAUAAAAAAGGGACCUGCUGAAGCACUUUUCAUAGAUGAACAGAAGGAUCUGAGCGUUGUGCAACCGUCAUUGACUGUGCGUCACGCAAUACAACAAAGCUGGAGUACCAAGAGAAAGGAGAACAUGGCAUAGAGAACUACCACACUGGAAGGCCGGAGCCGAGGUUCAAACACAGAACCUCAGAACUGUAAGGCAGAUAUGCUAACCAGAUGGCCGUCAUGCCGCCCCUUUUGCCGUUCAGAUCGAUAUUAACGUCAUAUGUGUUAUGACAGAAGAGGAGUUCGGACAGCAUUUCGUAAGAUAUGGAGACCGACUUGCACUCAGAGCAUUUUGUCGUCGGAGAACCCUGACAAACGAAAACUCGGGAGGAAUUGAGACUGUUAAGUACACGCUCAUGCGAAGUAUCAGAGAAAGGUUAGGGAACGAACGGAAAGCUACUGCCGACAGAGGCACAGCACACUCUGUUCGACAAAAAGGUGCCAUCAAAGUCAUACUAUUAUAUAGUAGAGCACAGAUCAAAUCCAGCUGAUCCUGCAAUGUAAACCAAGGCGCACAUCAGAUUCUCAGUUGGAGAUAUUUAGCUGCUGGGUGGUACUGCAGCCAACUGUGGACAACAAAGAAAUUAUUCAGUACUGAUGUGUUUGUGCAAUCUAUUCACAUUAAAAGUAUUUUAAAGGAAUUUGUAGUAAAUUAUUAGAGAUGUCAAAUACACAGAAGCAUAAAUACAGUACAUUGAAGUUGAUUUGUAAUUUUGGAGAGUUUGUGCACACUUCAGCUAAUUAUUUACAAUGCGUUUCUUGUAUUUGCAGUGUUCAUUAAAGACUGAUCAGUGUUUUUAAGCAUGGAUACAUAAAUAGAUAUAUAUGGCAUCAAAAUGUGGUACAUUAUGGGUAGACCUGUGGUCUUAUUCAAGGUCCAUCCAUCCAUUUUCUGAGCCACUUCUCCUCACUAGGGUCACGGACGUAAUGGAGCCUAUCCCAGCUAUCAUCGGGCAGGAGGCGGGGUCCACCCUGAACUGGUUGCCAGCCAAUCGCAGGGCAAAAUCUUACAGCACCUAGUAUUCCCAGGCAGUCUCCCAUCCAAGUACUAACCCAGCCCACACCUGGUUAGCUUCUGAGAUCAGACGAGAUCGGGCAUUCUCAGGACGAUCUUUGAGGAGACGAUCUUGGAGACAUCAGCACAGGAGGACUAGAAACAAUCAAGUGGCUCACACAGAGAGCUCCUUUGAUCUAGAUCCAGCUUUUCCAUUCUUGCUUGAUGUACAGCUUCAACUGUUCAACAGUCCGGGUUCUCCAUUGUCGUAUUAAAUAUUCUAAGUUAAUGAUUAUUUGCUAAAAAAAACAAUCAAAUUUAUCAGCUUGAACAUGAAAUAUCUCGUCUUUGUAGUGUAUUCAAUUAAAUAUGUUGAACAUGAUUUGCAAAUCAUUGUAUUCUGUUUUUAUUUAUGUUUAACACGUCCCAACUUCAUUGGAAUUGGGA